AACGAACGCUGGCGGCAGGCCUAACACAUGCAAGUCGAACGAAGUCUUCGGACUUAGUGGCGCACGGGUGAGUAACACGUGGGAAUAUACCUUACGCUGGGGGAUAACAUCGGGAAACUGAUGCUAAUACCGCAUACGCCCUUCGGGGGAAAGAUUUAUCGGCGAAAGAUUAGCCCGCGUCCGAUUAGCUAGUUGGUGAGGUAAUGGCUCACCAAGGCUCCGAUCGGUAGCUGGUCUGAGAGGAUGACCAGCCACACUGGGACUGAGACACGGCCCAGACUCCUACGGGAAGCAGCAGUGGGGAAUAUUGGACAAUGGGCGCAAGCCUGAUCCAGCCAUGCCGCGUGAGUGAUGAAGGCCUUAGGGUUGUAAAGCUCUUUCACCCACGACGAUGAUGACGGUAGUGGGAGAAGAAGCCCCGGCUAACUUCGUG
rnacentral:rRNA from 1 species